CAUUGUUGCCUGUUCUCCAGUCCCCAGAUCCAAUGGCACUUUUUGCACACAUCUCUCCUUGAAGGGGUUCCAUCUCAUCCAGCAAUUCCCAAAUUUUUUGCAAGCCAUGAUUUUGGAGGCGCCAAAAGGAUCCUGCUUCUUUCACAUGGUGGUGUUCAGUUGCAGUAGCAUCCAGUGUGCAUCUCUUCUGACACAUCUCAUCAGUCAUGACUAACUCCACUAUUUUAGGCACAAACUUUGGGAUGGCUGGGGGUUCGAGCCCCCUGGGAUUUGACGGGAGGCUGAGACCCCAAAGACAACCAAUGCAAGAGGUGAACAAGAAUCUAAGCGUGGUGCAUAUGAUUCUCCUCCAUUUUAACAUCUCAA